rnacentral:rRNA from 1 species
UAGGGAAUCUUCCGCAAUGGGCGAAAGCCUGACGGAGCAACGCCGCGUGAGUGAUGAAGGUCUUCGGAUCGUAAAACUCUGUUAUUAGGGAAGAACAAAUGUGUAAGUAACUAUGCACGUCUUGACGGUACCUAAUCAGAAAGCCACGGCUAACUACGUGCCAGCAGCCGCGGUAAUACGUAGGUGGCAAGCGUUAUCCGGAAUUAUUGGGCGUAAAGCGCGCGUAGGCGGUUUUUUAAGUCUGAUGUGAAAGCCCACGGCUCAACCGUGGGGGGUCAUUGGAAACUGGAAAACUUGAGUGCAGGAGAGGAAAGUGGAAUUCCAUGUGUAGCGGUGAAAUGCGCAGAGAUAUGGAGGAACACCAGUGGCGAAGGCGACUUUCUGGUCUGUAACUGACGCUGAUGUGCGAAAGCGUGGGGAUCAAACAGG